rnacentral:rRNA from 1 species
CUACGGGUCGCUGCAGCUGAGGAAAUUUUACAAUGUUCGAAAGAAUGAUAAAAUAAGCCAGAGUGUUUUUCUUAGAAAAACUUUUGUCUGCUGUAAAAAGGCAGACGAAUAAGGACUGGGCAAGACCGGUGCCAGCCGCCGCGGUAAUACCGGCGGUCCAAGUCGCAUCCACAUUUAUUGGGUCUAAAACAUUCGUAGCUUGUUCUGUAAGUCUCUUGUGAAAUCUCAUGUCUCAAGCAUAAGGCGUGCAAGAGAUACUGCAUUACUAGAGACCGGAAGACGUAAGGAGUACGAUUGAGGUAGCGGUAAAAUGUGUUAAUCUUGAUCGGACUAACAAUGGCGAAGGCACCUUACGAGUACGGAUCUGACAGUGAGGGAUGAGGGCUAGGGGCGCAAAAGGGAUUAGAUACCCUAGUAGUC